UACAGAGGGGGCAAGCGUUGUUCGGAAUUACUGGGCGUAAAGGGCGCGUAGGCGGCCUGCUAAGUCGGACGUGAAAUCCCUCAGCUUAACUGGGGAACUGCGUCCGAUACUGGAUGGCUUGAGUUUGGGAGAGGGAUGCGGAAUUCCAGGUGUAGCGGUGAAAUGCGUAGAUAUCUGGAGGAACACCGGUGGCGAAGGCGGCUUCCUGGACCGACACUGACGCUGAGGCGCGAAAGCUAGGGGAGCAAACGGG
rnacentral:rRNA from 1 species